CACAUGUCGGCUGUGAAAUAUCAAAACCCAGUAUCUGCAUAAAACUAAAUUUUACAGGAGAGCCGAAAAACAAUUUCAUAUCUUUGACAGCGUGCCGUUUCAAUAAUAUUAGUCGUAACUUCUUGAGAGUGAUUGCAAAAUUUGAGGUACAUAACAGGCUUUAUAAAAAAGUAGAUUUCAUGCGUCUAUCACAAAAGAUGUACAUAGAGGAGCAGUUACUAAUAAAAAUAUUGUUUUCUUAGAUCAAACUUUUUGAGUGUGACAAUUUCAAAACCUAGUAAGAUCACUUGCUUUGUUUUCAUCUAGUUCUAAAAUAAAAUGAGUGGGGAUAAACGCAAAUUAAUAGACUGAGUAAGAUCACUUGCUUUGUUUUCAUUUAGGUCUGAAUUUACUGAGUAGGAACUAAAUGCAAUUUUAUAAACACAGUAAGAAAAAACAGAAUAAAACAACAUAAAUAUGGGCAGAAAUAAGCAGUUUUAAUGAAAAAGAAAAAAAAAACAUAUAAUCGGAAACCAAACACUAUUUGUUCACAGUAAAAAAUCAAAAAAUAAUCACUCAAAAUAUAUGAAAACAGUCAAAUAAAAAUAAAUUAUUCGGUUAUUAAUAAAUGUCCACUAGAAACUAAAUUAACUGGAUUAUUAUUAAUCGGUACACUUUGCCAAAACAUCUUCUCCAAAACUUCUUUAAGCUAAAUAAAGUUGUUACUAUGCCUUCCUUUUUACUUUCGUUAAUGCCUCUUGGAAUAUUUUUUAAGGUUGGCAUGAUCAAGGGAUUGUGUUUUUUAAUAAGAAAAUCCAACUCGGAGAUUCAAAAUCAUUCCUAUAAAACAUAUUACGACACCCAUUUACAAAUGUUACUUCAACCAAAGAACUAAGCAAAAAAUUAUUAAUGGGAACAAGGUCAUCAUUGCAUCGCGGUAUGCGUUUCUUUUUUACCCACUCAUACGAAUUUUGGAAUUCAAUAACUUCAAUAUGCGAUAUGCAACCCAAAAUUACAUUCUUAUAGUCUUCAAAAUCGUACACAGCAUCUUUUGUUUUUAAUCUGCCUCUCCAUAUUGCCAUGAACUCCAUCAGCGGACAUACGUGUGUGAUCUUUAAUUAGGUAGGUAUUACAAAGUCCAACUUUUUAAAUUGAAAAACCCAGAGAUUAUUAUAGUAACAAGUGAUGUAAAGAGGAUCCAAUUUUUAUUUUGAGCUGUGCAAUUAUCACACCACAAUAUCAAAUGAUUAAAAUCUCUUUCUUUUUCGAUCAUUGCUGCAAUUGCAUUAACAAUGUCAUGAGCAUCUCGUCCACAAUAGGCUUCAUGCCAUAGAAUACAAAUAUUAUUAACAUUAGUUUUCUUUCUGAUUGGUGCAAAUGUCAAGUUGAAAGUUAUCAUUCUACUCAAGAAAAACGAUUCUUUGACUUUAGGCAUGUCGGGUAACAACAUAACUUUUUGUAAAUGCAUCGAAUAGUAUCUCACAGAGGAAGUAUUUUCUAGGGAGGCAUCUUCUUGAUACUUUUGUAUUGCUUUACUUGCUUUAGCUUUGUGAUCCUCGUAUGCAGUUUUAACAUCCUCUGGAAUAUUUGCACCUUCAUUUACUUUAUGUGUCGUAGUAGGUUGCCAUUUUGGAAAACAAAAAACCUUGACAAUAAUAAAACACACUGAAGCGUACUUACAUUUCACCAUGUUGUUCUUUUAAAGCAUUCAAGAUCAAUUUUGACUUAUAAAACUGAUUUUUACUCAUUUUAUAGACAAAAACACGAACGACGUACAACGAUUUUCUCACUUACUAAAGUUUCGCGCGAGUGUUGACGUUUAUUUCAACCAUUUCAUUGACUUAGUAUCUGCAUGAACCAUUUUAAAUCCAAUUAACUACAAGCACUUAUUAGGUUUUUAAAAUGGUUGAUGUUAUAUACUAUGUUCUAAUCUUGUAAUUUUUGCAUUUUGAAAACCUUUACUGUAGAUACUAGGUUUCCGACUUUGUGUAACUUCGUUUUUUCCAAAUUUUUGGGGGUUUUUGCUAUCCUAAUAUAUGGAGAAUGGUCUACAAGGUCGAAAAAUGCAAAAACACACUUUUUUUUAAAUUUGUCAGAUACUAGGUUUUGAAAUUGGACAGCCGAUGUGCGUGUGUAGUGGUGGUGGGCUCACUGAAUUUGGCCCCUUUUUUUAAUUUACAGAUUUUUUUAUUUUUAGUUAUUUGUUCGUUAAUGUUCAAAUGUAAGAAUUGUUUGUUCGUCUUUUAUUUAUUUAUAAUUAAUUAAACAAAUAAUUACCCUUGUGGCGUUUUAUUAUGCGUAAGCCGGAACGCAUGAGAUGUGGGAAAAAGAAUAUAGUCUGUGACACGAUACCUUUUUACCGCCAAAAUAUGAAAAACAUUAAAAUAAUUUAUAAUGUGUUAAAUAACUAAUUUAAUGUAAUUACUUUAUGCCGCUACAACAAUAAAAUAGAUAUUGUUCCAACUGUGGUGUUAAUUACAUAAAACACGACCAGGCGAAAUAAAGAAGGGACCAAUAUGAGCUCCCUUAUUGGUGACCCCGACGUGAUCGAUCGUUACAAAUAGAGAUCGAGUACAAACUAUAUACACCUGGCACAGCAUUCAGGCAAGAUCGUCUACAAACCAUAUACACUUGGCGCAGCAUCGCCGCGCACAGCAGAGUGAUCAAGUACAAGCGGUUAAACACCUGGUGCGGCAUUCCACAACAUGGAACUUAUUUUCUUCUUUUUUUUUGUGUUUUUUGAAUAACUCAGUGAAGUGUUUUAUAUUUUUUAUUUUAUUUUAAUCUUAAUACUUCUUCAUAUUCUGUAUUGUAUUCAUAUACUGUAACUUUAAUUUUGUUACAUAAUUGCAUAUAUAACAGCUUGGUCUUUGUCGACAUAAAAAAACAAGAAAAACAAAAUUUUAAUUUAAUUUAAAGUUCCUUUUGUAACCAUAGUUAAUCAUAUUUUGUUAACGGGCCUUCAUUGCUCCACCAAUUCAUGGUAUAACAUUGUAAUUAAUAAUAAUAUUAAGGUAUUAUUGUACGAUUAGUAGUAAGGAAAUAUUUGUUUUUACGAGGCAAAAUAAUUACAGUUUUAGGUCUUAUACAUCACAUAAAUGUUUUAAAGUCAAUAGUCAGGAAAUGUAAGUCGGUGCAACAUCACAUCUGUAUUUGACUAAUUUCUAUUUUCUUGUAUACUAUAAUUUUAUUUCAUUGUUUUACUGUGUCUCUUAUUGUCAUUAUUUUGCCAUCUUUUACCAUAAUCAUUAAUUUUCAAUUUCCUGUUUACUUAUUAUUAUUAUUUUUAAGUUGUUACAUUGUGUAAGUGCUUAGUUUUUUUUAUUUAUUUAUUACAAUUGUAAACGUAAAGUUCUGAAAUGGAGGCAAACGAACAAUUAGUAAGAGAAGAAAAUACACUGUUACUACAACAAAAUGCCAUCCUAAAGGCUGAAUUACAAAAACUUAAAAUGCAAGGCAUCGAUAAAACGGACCCACCCCCCACAGACCCAUUAUUUCCUCAACCUACCUCAGUAUGCAGAGUAGCCAUAAAACUUCCUCCCUUCUGGCCUGAUCGGCCUGCAGUUUGGUUUGCUCAGGUAGAGGCACAAUUCUCGAUUUCAGGCAUCUCCGCUGACCUGACUAAAUUUAACUACGUGAUUGCUCAGUUAGAUACCCGAAUUAUUGGGGAGGUAGAGGACAUUAUUCUCCAACCACCACCUGAGGACAAAUAUGGUCGCCUCAAAUCCGAGUUGAUCCGUAGGUUGUCCACGUCUGAGGAGAUGUUGAGUUGGGUGACCGCCGUGCUUCGCAGUUUUUACGUCAUCUUAGAUCAUUGGCAGGAAACACCCUCACUGAUGAAAAUUUGCUUCGCCAGCUAUGGAUGCGUCGCCUCCCACAACAUCUCCAAGCAAUUUUGGCCGCCCAAUCAGAACUCUCGCUGGACAAAGUCGCUGAGCUAGCGGACAAAAUUUUGGAAGUUUCGCCUGGUAUGGUCGCACCUCAUUCAUCUGCUGUUUUCUCAGCAAGCACGUCUGCCGUCUCACCCCCUUCGUUAGAAGAUAUCACACGGCGUCUGGAUGAGGUCACGCGUCAGCUUGCUGUGCUUACUGCAGAGCGCGGUAGAAAUAAGACCCGGGAUUUCUCAAACCAGCGACGACGCUCACAAACGCCUGGUAAAUCAACAGAGAUCCUGUCAUCAAACAUUCUUAGCUACUCACUUAAUUCUUAGUGAAUAUCUGUGACCUUGCUCGUUCACGAAGCCCGCUAUAGAAAGCAGAGUAUUAAAUACACUUGACAUUGGCGAAAUCUAAAAGGAAACGCCAUAAACCUAAGAGAUAGAUAGAUACUAGCGUUUUGUUAUUUAACAAGUGCGUUUAAACUGUCUAAUUAGUUCUUAAGUAGAUAAAAAAAAUAUUUAAAACUUCAACAAUACCUACUUCAGACUACAACAAAAAAAUGUCAGUGAAGACGGCCAAUUCGUUAAAGUAUCUUCUAUCUUCUUUAAUGAAUCGCUGUUCGUUAGUCUCGCUAAAACUCGAGAACGGCUGGACCGAUUUGGCUAAUUUUGGUCUUGAAUUAUUUGUGAAAUCCUAGAGGUUUAAAAGGUACUUAGAUAAAUAUGAAAAUGUUCGGAAUUAAACAAAAAUAACAA